UACCAGCACCCCGAGUGGUCGGGACGUUUAUUGGGCCUAAAGCAUCCGUAGCCGGUUCUACAAGUCUUCCGUUAAAUCCACCUGCUUAACAGAUGGGCUGCGGAAGAUACUAUAGAGCUAGGAGGCGGGAGAGGCAAGCGGUACUCGAUGGGUAGGGUAAAAUCCGUUGAUCCAUUGAAGACCACCAGUGGCGAAGGCGGCUUGCCAGAACGCGCUCGACGGUGAGGGAUGAAAGCUGGGGGAGCAAACCGG
rnacentral:rRNA from 1 species